GUGGGCCGACAGCUGCUACGCACGUCUCCAUGGACCCUCGAGCCAUAGAGUGUGAGAGCCCCGUGCGGUAGAUGCGGGACGGUCAUGAUACGCCCUCCUUCGGCGAGUUGAGUAGUUUGUGAAUGCUGCUAUAACUGGGAGAUAAAUUCCUUAUAAGGCUAAAUAUCGGCCGGAGACCGAUAGCGCACAAGUAGAGUGAUCGAAAGAUGAAAAGUACUUUGAAAAGAGGUUUAAACAGUACGUGAAAUUGUUGAAAGGGAAGCGCCCGCGACUAGACUUGUACCUGACCGAUCGCUAGACGGCAGCAUGCCGUAAAGCCUCCCUGUCAUGGUGUGCAGGCCAGCAUCGGUUUGUGUUGGGGGAUAAGAGUACCGGGAAAGUAGCUCCUCUUCGGGGGAUUUUUAUACCCGGGGUCUCCUUCCCCCGACCCAGAUCGAGGAACGCGUUUUGGCACGGGGGUGGGCGUAAUGGUGGCAAAGGACCCCUCUUGAAACACGGACCAAGGAGUCUAACAUUUACGCGAGUGUUUGGGUGGCAAACCCGUGCCCGCAAAGAAAAAGAACGGACGUGGGAGCCCCCUUGAGGGGCGCACCAUCGACCGAUCCUGAUGUCUUGGGAUGGAUUUGAGUAGGAGCGUAGCUGUGGGGACCCGAAAGAUGGUGAACUAUGCCUGAAUAGGGUGAAGCCAGAGGAAACUCUGGUGGAGGCUCGCAGCGGUUCUGACGUGCAAAUCGAUCGUCAAAUUUGGGCAUAGGGGCGAAAGACU
rnacentral:rRNA from 1 species